rnacentral:rRNA from 1 species
AUUGAACGCUGGCGGCAUGCCUUACACAUGCAAGUCGAACGGCAGCACGGGAGCAAUCCUGGUGGCGAGUGGCGAACGGGUGAGUAAUACAUCGGAACGUGCCCAGUAGUGGGGGAUAACCCGGCGAAAGCCGGACUAAUACCGCAUACGACCUACGGGUGGAAAGCGGGGAUCGCAAGACCUCGCGCUAUCGGAGCGGCCGAUGUCAGAUUAGCUAGUUGGUGGGGAAAAGCCCACCAAGGCGACGAUCUGUAGCUGGUCUGAGAGGACGACCAGCCACACUGGGACUGAGACACGGCCCAGACUCCUACGGGAGGCAGCAGUGGGGAAUUUUGGACAAUGGCGCAAGCCUGAUCCAGCCAUGCCGCGUGCGGGAAGAAGGCCU